rnacentral:rRNA from 1 species
GACGAACGCUGGCGGCGUGCUUAACAAAUGCAAGUCGAACGAAGUGGCGAACGGGUGAGUAACGCAUAAUCAACCUGCCCUUCAGAGGGGGACAACAGUUGGAAACGACUGCUAAUACCACAUACUGAAGGAGGGGCUGGCGUCGGAUUAGCGAGUGGGAGGGGUAACGGCCCACCAAGGCGAUGAUCAGUAGCCGGUCUGAGAGGAUGAACGGCCACAUUGGGACUGAGACACGGCCCAGACUCCUACGGUAGGCAGCAGUGGGGAAUCUUCCGCAAUGGACGAAAGUCUGACGGAGCAACGCCGCGUGAGUGAUGACGGCCUUCGGGUUGUAAAGCUCUGUUAAUCGGGACGCGGUACCGGAAUAGAAAGCCACGGCUAACUACGUGCCAGCAGCCGCGGUAAUUC